rnacentral:rRNA from 1 species
GAUUGUCCCAGCCGCCGCGGUAAUACGGAGGGUGCAAGCGUUAAUCGGAAUAACUGGGCGUAAAGCGCACGCAGGCGGUUAGAUAAGUCAGAUGUGAAAGCCCCGGGCUCAACCUGGGAACUGCAUUUGAAACUGUCUGACUAGAGUCUUGUAGAGGGGGGUAGAAUUCCAGGUGUAGCGGUGAAAUGCGUAGAGAUCUGGAGGAAUACCGGUGGCGAAGGCGGCCCCCUGGACAAAGACUGACGCUCAGGUGCGAAAGCGUGGGGAGCAAACAGGAUUAGAUACCCUGGUAGUCCACGCUGUAAACGAUGUCGAUUUGGAGUUUGUGCCAUUAUGAGCGUGGGUUCCGAAGCUAACGCGAUAAAUCGACCGCCUGGGGAGUACGGCCGCAAGGUUAAAACUCAAAUGAAUUGACGGGGGCCCGCACAAGCGGUGGAGCAUGUGGUUUAAUUC